rnacentral:rRNA from 1 species
CCAGACUCCUACGGGAGGCAGCAGUGAGGAAUAUUGGUCAAUGGGCGCGAGCCUGAACCAGCCAAGUCGCGUGAGGGAUGACGGCCCUACGGGUUGUAAACCUCUUUUGUCGGGGAGCAAAUUCCGUUACGUGUAACGGAGUCGAGAGUACCCGAAGAAAAAGCAUCGGCUAACUCCGUGCCAGCAGCCGCGGUAAUACGGAGGAUGCGAGCGUUAUCCGGAUUUAUUGGGUUUAAAGGGUGCGUAGGCGGGCGCUUAAGUCAGCGGUAAAAUUGCGGGGCUCAACCCCGGCGAGCCGUUGAAACUGGCGGGCUGGAGUUGGAGAGAAGUACGCGGAAUGCGCGGUGUAGCGGUGAAAUGCUUAGAUAUCGCGCAGAACCCCGAUUGCGAAGGCAGCGUACCGGCUCCACACUGACGCUGAGGCACGAAAGCGUGGGUAUCGAACAGGAUUAGAUACCCCAGUACG